rnacentral:lncRNA from 1 species
CCUAUGUCUUAUGAUUAAUGCCCACCAUGGACUGCAGGCUCUCUAAAAAUGACUCCUCAUGAAUUCCAGGAUCUACUCCUAUGAACAGCUAUAAAAUACGGAUGCUUCAAGAAUAUUCCCAGGAAAUAUCUCUUUAUGAUUAUUCAACUAAUGUGGAGCUCUCAACCAAAAGGUGCAGUGCCAGAUUUCUAAUCUGAGAAGAGAUUAUUCCAUCAAAUUCAAGAAAGACAGAUAAGGCCAAAUAGAUAAGCAAACAGCUAACCAGACAUGAUAUGCAAAAAUAAAAUGAAACUCCCAGCUCCUGAAUAGUCAUGUUUUAAGGCCACAAAGACAACAGGGAUAGGCAGAGGCACGGAGAAUAUACUGAACAGCUUGCACCAACACCAAACAUGAUGUAGCUUGGGGAAAGA